CCUACGGGAGGCAGCAGUGGGGGAUAUUGCACAAUGGGGGGAACCCUGAUGCAGCGACGCCGCGUGGGUGAAGAAGUAUUUCGGUAUGUAAAGCCCUAUCGGCAGGGAAGAAAUUGGACGGUACCUGACUAAGAAGCCCUGGCUAACUACGGGCCAGCAGCCGCGGUAAUACGUAGGGGGCAAGCGUUAUCCGGAUUCACUGGGGGUAAAGGGAGCGUAAACGGCCAUGCAAGCCUGGAGGGAAAGCCCGGGGCCCAACCCCGGGACUUCUCUGGGAACUCUGCGGCUGGUGCGCGGGAGGGGCA
rnacentral:rRNA from 1 species